ensembl:ncRNA C07G1.13 ncRNA
CCUCCACUCCCGACUUGGACGUCAUAUUGAACGUCGUCCAUUGGCUGUCGAUUAGCGGUGGACAGAAUGAGCAUUGUUAUGCUCAAUUUGAGGUGA